rnacentral:rRNA from 1 species
UACGUAGGUGGCAAGCGUUGUCCGGAUUUACUGGGCGUAAAGAGCGCGCCAGGCGGUCGAUCAAGUCGCGUGUGAAAGCCCCCGGCUCAACUGGGGAGGGUCACGCGAUACCGAUCGACUCGAAGGCAGGAGAGGGUAGUGGAAUUCCCGGUGUAGUGGUGAAAUGCGUAGAUAUCGGGAGGAACACCAGUGGCGAAGGCGACUACCUGGCCUGUUCUUGACGCUGAGGCGCGAAAGCUAGGGGAGCAAACGGG